UACGGGGGGGGCAAGCGUUGUUCGGAAUUACUGGGCGUAAAGGGCUCGUAGGCGGCCAACUAAGUCGGCCGUGAAAUCCCUCGGCUUAACCGGGGAACUGCGUCCGAUACUGGAUGGCUUGAGUUUGGGAGAGGGAUGCGGAAUUCCAGGUGUAGCGGUGAAAUGCGUAGAUAUCUGGAGGAACACCGGUGGCGAAGGCGGCAUCCUGGACCAACACUGACGCUGAUGAGCGAAAGCCAGGGGAGCAAACGGG
rnacentral:rRNA from 1 species